rnacentral:misc_RNA from 1 species
AAGGAGCCUAACAUAUGCGCAAGUCUUUGGGUGGCAAGCCCAUGGGCAUAAUGAAAGUGAAAUAGUUUUAGUUUUAUUACAACAACCGGGCCGGGACAAUGGGUUUUAAUCCGUGUUCUGAGUUUACAAUUGAGCGUACAUGUUGGGACCCGAAAGAUGGUGAACUAUGCCUGGAUAGGUUGAAGUCUGCUGAAAGGCAGACGGAGGGCCGUAGCGAUACUGACGUGCAAAUCGUUCGUCAAAUCUGGGUAUAGGGGCGAAAGACUAAUCGAACCAUCUAGUAGCUGGUUCCCUC